CCGACCAUAGCUCAGCUGGAAGAGCAUCAGACUGUAAUGGAUAUAUUGCCAUCUGGGUGUCGCCUGUUCGAGCCAGGCUGGUCGGA
rfam:Fistulina hepatica ATCC 64428 unplaced genomic scaffold FISHEscaffold_96, whole genome shotgun sequence.